CACUCCAGUACUCUUGCCUGGAAAAUCCCAUGGACGGAGGAGCCUGGUAGGCUGCGGUCCAUGGGGUCGCUACGAGUCGAACUCGACUGAGAGGCUUCACUUACACUUUUCAUUUUCAUGCAUUGGAGAAGGCAAUGGCACCCCACUCCAGUGUUCUUGCCUGGAGAAUCCCAGGGACGGGGAGCCUGGUGGGCUGCCAUAUCUAUGGGGUUGCACAGAGUCAGACACGACUGAAGUGACUUAGCAGCAGCAGCAGCAAUGUUAUUUUGUAUUGUCAACGGACUGGAUGUGCGUGUGUAUGUCUGUGUGUGUGACAGACAGACACAGAGGGACUGUGAUUUACACAUAAGUUAAACACCCACAUCAGUAGCUUGGUCACAGUACCACCAGCAAGCAGACAAGUAUAACUUUGCCAGAGAUGCUGGCAGAGGCUGCUGGCUGCUGUCCCCAUGUCUGCUUGCACAUAGUGUCAGAGCCUCAGAAGAUGAGGCGCCCCUCCCUUCUGACCCAGCCAUCAUGCUGAAAGGUCGUUGCUGCGGGCCAUGUGCUGCAUGUCACCCAUGACUCUGGGGGACAGGAUUUUGAUCCCGGGUCAGAGAUGAGGCUUGACUACUUGGGGCUUUUUGUGUAGCAAAGUUUUGUUAAAAUAUAGAGAUAGGGAAAGGUUCUGACACAGAUGUCAGAAGGGGACAGAAAGAGUGCCCCCUUGCUCGUUUUUAGCAAGGUGUUUUAUGUCUGUUAGAAAUCAGAUAAGAGAGACACCUCAAGGCUGAGGGAGUUUCACCAGGCCUCUCGUCCACAAUAUGCAAUUUUGAGAUAGGAUGGCAUGAGGUGUGUCAUCCCACCUCCCGCCAUAAAAUAAUUGACAGGAAUACUGGUUUGUUGAGCCAUUAUCAGCCCAAGGUUUGCGAAAAGAAAAAAAAGUUAGUCUUAGGUGGAACCAUUUUGAAGAAAGGCAAAUUGCAAAGCAAAUACAUAGUUUCAUUAACAUAGCUUAAGAAAAACAUAUCCAUAAGAAAAAUACAUGGGUUAGCUCAAGGCUCAAUUCUGUGUCCUUAACACAGAAUUAAAAGAAGCCUCUUUUCAUCUUGUGUAGAGAAGGAAAAAAAAGAAAACAUCUGCCACGUGCAGUUUAUUACCUCCUGCCACUUGGGAACCUAUGGCCUUCCUGCCUGUUACCCUCUCAGUGUUUUUAAAAAUCAGACAGAGCAUCUUCUAGAUGUGGCUUCUCCUAACAGACCCAGGAGGAGGAGCUGCCACUGUUCGCCAAGGACACUACGCCACUCCGUAUUGCGAAACAUGACUCCCCUUACAAGGCCCAAGCUGUCCUUUCCCCCUCGGCCCCUGCCAUGUGCGUUCAUGCACACCAGCCCACUCUUGCACUCCAGUUUCCCCUCACAGGAAAUGGCCAGGGUGGUGGCAGGCAGAUUAGUCGAUGAAGUUGGAAUCUGAACUGGGCAUCCAGCCUGCAGUUUGCAGCUGAGGGCGCUGAGGGUCCGGGAGCUGCAGUGACAUCCUCAGAGGCAGCUCCCGGAUUUGCCGUCUGCUCCUCUCUCACAUGGUGCUUUUGAGAAAGGGCAGCCCCAUCUCUGCCAGGGCCUCAGAGCCGCCCGCCUUCUCAUCAUCAGGGGCUGCAUCUGUGGAAAGAUCGAGAACCAGUUCCCCUUCCCUCGUGUGGUCCUCCCAUGGCUGGGGCUCUGUGGGAGGGAGGGAUUCAAACCCCUUCAACGCAGGCUCGAGACGCCACUGGCCUCCUCAACCUUUAGUCCUUCUCACCGCAACUGCAGGCGGAUUUUCCAAAGAAAGCCUUGCCCUCCUUGCUCUGGACCAACCUAGUUUCUCAAUUUUCAUUCCUUGGCUGCCAUAUGUAAUAACACAACUUAUCUACAAGAUUAGUGUAAUGUUUGACUCCAUUUCUUUUAAAAUUUUGGAAAACUUGCUUCUCUUUCCUUUUCUUUUCUCUUGGCUGCACUGUGCGGCUUAGGGGAUCUUAGUUCCCCAAACAGGGAUUGAAACUGUCCACGGCAAUGAAAGCGCUGCGUCCCAACCACCGGUUGUAAUUGUUUAGUCUCUAAGUCAUGUCUGACUCUUGCGACCCCAUGGACUAUAGCCCGCCAGGCUCCUCUGUCCAUGGGAUUUCCCAGCCUAGAAAACUGGCGUGGGCUGUCAUUUCCUUCUCCAGGGAAUCUUCCUGACCCAGGGAUCGAACACGCAUCUCCUGCAUUGGCAGGUGGGUUCUUUACCAUUGAGCCACCCUAACCACUGCACCAUCAGGGAAUUCCCUGGAAUGUUUUAUUUUCCUCUGGGGAGAUAGUAGAGGGGAGCAUGGGGAAGCCACAUAACUGUAUCCUGGGCCCUAUUAGAGGCUAGGAAGCAGUACAAGAUGGCAGGUCAGAGCCAGUAUUCAAAUCCCAGCUCUGCCUCUUACAGGUUGGUCACGGGCAGAUUACUUAACCCUCUUUGGGCUUCAGUUUCCUCAUGUCCAGAUGGAAAGAUCACAAUAGCACCUAGCAGAUAUUAAGCUCCCGGUAGAUAUUAGCCUUGUUGUUACCGUUGCUGGGAGAAGAGGCAUUUGUGCCUGGUUGGUGAGAAUCAUGGAAUGCAUUUAACUGACUUCCUGUUUUCUUGCAUUCAACUCAGGCAGCCCAUAGAUUGUGUGCAUUUUAAGACUUUUCAGAAAACAUGCUUUUGCAAAUGGGGGUUUCAGAGAGAAGAGCUUGGACAGCUUCCCCGAAAACUGUCAGACUGCCUCAUUCCCGUGUGUGCAGAGCGGGGGCCCCCUCUGUGUCAGCGGGAGGCCCACCCAUGUUGAAACCAGCAACUUUUUUUUUUUUCCCCAACACCUUCCCGUGCUGUCUAAACGUGCAGGGACACCCGGGCCCCAGGCCCCAGCCUCAGCAGCCCUCCUAGCAGAGGGGGAGAAGCUGCCCUGGAUUUCACACGGCUGGUUGGCAGCGGGGAGGCCAGCAGAGCCAGUGGAAUGCGUGCGGCUUUCAAAUGUCGCAUCUGUGGACUUGGUUGGCAGGCCCAGGCGGCGCACCACAAUAAACCUGUCACACAGGCAUUGAGUCACUGGGUCCUUUAUUCCUCAUCCCUGCAUUCUGCGGCCUUGUGUUCUCUUGCCAGCAGAGAUUGGAACGUUCAGCCCCCAGACAUGCCAGAAGCUCCAUGUUUUUUUUUAAAGCAACCAUGCGGCUUGGCUAAGGAAUGUGUGUCCCUGGGGGGUGCUUCCCUGCGGUACGGUCUCCCGAGCAGCCGCCCCCAGCACGCUUGAAGACAGGAGGUUAAUUCCCUCCUGCCUCCCUGUGCUUCUCAGGAUCCGGAUCUUUGGGCCUGGGAACCUCUGCCCUGCUCACUGACCCUCCAGUCCCAGCAGCAGAGGCACAGCCAGAAGACCCCCUCCGCCUCCUCUCUGGGGCGUUACCUUGGAGUCCUGAGGCCCCGUGGGAAGGACCCCACAGUCCGAAUCCUCCGCUGAUGUGAUCUCUGGCAGGAACCUUCUUCCCACCCACACCCCAUCCUCAAGGGGCAGAAGGAUAUCUGUCUGUCCUCUCUCUGCCAUACCCCUCCCGGCCGCGGUAUCAGAGGCUCAGGACACCACCCAGGAGACCAGCCUGCCUGCGAUUUCUAGCAGACAGCUCCUCUUCUGCUGCUCCUUCCUAGGGAAUUUUGGCUGAGGAAUACAGAUCCAGAUGACGAGACUGGGCUCAGCAGAACCCCAGCAGACGAGGCGCCCGCACUCCUGAAGUUUGCAGGAGCAGGAGGAGGAGCAGGCUCAUUUCAGAAUCAUUGCAGCCGGUGAUGGCUGAAAUGGGCUGGGCAUGCCGGAAGGCCAGGGUUGGAGCACGUGGCUUCUCUCUGGAGAGGCGACAGGCGGCCGAAGAUCGGAGGGCCUGGAGGGUCAGUGUGCAAGCCUCAAGGGCGAGAGCGAUCUAGGCCCCAGGAACGGCAGGUUCAAAGGCCCUGAGUGCUGACGGAUCUCUCCUGCUUCCAUCAAGACGCGUGCAUCUUCCACCCGGAACCUGCUCCCCGCUUCCCAUCUCCCAGCCUUUUCUGUAUACCAGAGGCAGAGAGUUAUUUUGAGAACCCAACAACUUGGGACUGCCCCGGUGGUCCACUGGUUAAGAAUCCACCUCAAAAUGUAGGGGAUGUGGGUUCAAUCCCUUCUUGGGGAACUGAGAACUCACAUGCUUUGGAGCAACUAAGCCCACGUGUUGCAAUUACUGAGCUAGUGCACUCCAGAGCCCAGGCACUGCAACUGGAGAGUCCAGACCCAGUGGUGAAAACGCCUGCAUGAUGCAAUGAACACCAGAGGCAGCCAAAUAAAUAAAUAAAUGUUAGAACACACACACACGUAGGCAACUAUUUUUGCUUAAAAUCGUCCAGGGGUGUCCCAGUGUUCCUGGGAUGACAUCCUAAAUCUUGCAUUCCGUCUGUGAGGCCCUGCUUGAUCCUGCUUCCUUCUCUCACCCAUGUGAAGCCCUCACCUGGCCUAGCUCCCGCCUCAUUUCAGUUCAGUUCAGUUCAGUCGAUCAGUCGAGUCCGACUCUUUGUGACCCCAUGGACCGCAGCACGCCAGGCCUCCCUGUCCAUCACCAACUCUCGGAGUUCACCCAAACUCAUGUCUAUUGUGUCGGUGAUGCGAUCCAACCAUCUCAUCCUCUGUCGUCCCCUUCUCCUCUGGCCUUCAAUCUUUCCCAGCACCAGGGUCUUUUCCAAUGAGUCAGCUCUUCGCAUCAGGUGGCCAAAGCAUUGGAGUUUCAGCUUCAGCAUCAGUGCUUCCAAUGAACACCAGGACUGAUCUCCUUUAGGAUGGACCGGUUGGAUCUUCUAGUCCCACCUUUUUGCCCAUUUGUGCUCAGCCUUCCCCGACCAGGGCCUUCCUUACUGAUCUGUUGCCAGGACCGUCAUUAGGUGGCUGCUGUUAACCUGAAAACCUUCCAGGUUUCUGACACGGAAACGGGCUUCAGGGGCAGGGGCUCUGGCCACUCUGCCUUCUGGGGGAGGAGACGCUGGUGCUUAAAAGGUGAAGUCCCAGCCUGACCUGCCGCCUCGUGGUAUAAUGUUCUUUCUAGCUCUUUCCGCCACCUUUGGGAUCACCAUGAUAACCCUAAACAGAAGUCCAGGCUUCUGAUGCUCCAGUGGAUUUCCAGCUGGCUCUCUGGAAAACCAUCUCACCUGACUUCUAAAUUACGUGAUGGAGAGGUCUGCUUUCAUCACCGGCCCCCACUGUGGCACCCUGGCUGGGAGAUCGCAUGGAUGCGGAGGCUUUCUCUGCCUUGGAGAUGGCACAAGUCAACCUCCCUGAGCUCCUUCUUCCUCCCAGGGCUCCGUGUACCUGCACGUCCAGUGCGAGUUGGUGCUCAGGCUUCAGUCGAUGGAUUCCCAUCAUCCGGCCCUUCCUUUUGCCUAUUGAGUCUCACAUAACCAGACCUUCUAUCAACACGCUCUCCAAGAUUCUUGCAUGAAGCUGAAGCCACUGGUGGGCCUUGGCUUGAAUGCCCUCACCACAUCUUCCCCAGCUGUUUGUCCGCCUCCACGCCUUCUUUCUCUGCUGCUUUGGCCAGCGCCGCUCACCCGCCAGAAUGGAAGCUCCAUGAAAGCAGGGACCUGGGUGCCUCUCUGCUGUUGCUGACAAAUGAGCAAGAGAUGUCACGGGCUCAGGUGGUCUCUUGUGUUCUGGCGGGGUCAGUUGGCCAAGUUAGGAGAGACCGCAGGGGACCAGGCUGUUCUUAGACCCUUGUGAAGAAAGUUCCAUUGCGGUGAGAAGUCCCCCACCUGUCCAUGGACCACCCUGAUCUGGUCUGGUGUCCAGAGCUGCCCCUGGACUGGGGUUUCCCUGGGACUGGUCAACCAAGGUCAUUUGCAGAGGAGACCAGCUGCCUUGACCCAGCCUGGUUGCCACCGGCCCCCAGCAGUCUCCAGCUCCAAGGACAGGAGUCUCCUCUCAACCGGGCUAUCUGGGAAUGGACUGGGAGAGCCACGGGUUAUGGACCACCCUCAGACCCGCUCUUUUACAAGCUCACAAUUUCCUGGUGAGUCUGCAUUUCCCAAGAGAGCAAGAGCAAAAAGUUUUAUUCCUGAUGGCAGAAGUUUUAUUCCUGAUCUUCAUCUGUCUCUGGACUCCGUUGUCCCAUCCAUAACAUGAGGGCAUCAAGCAGAGUGACCUUUCAAGCUCUAGCCCUGGUGCUGGAGUCGGGUGGUGGCAGUGUGGUCUCCGGGCACAAAGCAUCAGAGGUUCUCUGGGCUCUGGCGUGUGGAUGACCUCAGAGGAUGGCAUUCUGUGGGCACGGCCAUCACGUCUCCUUGGUCAAGUGCCCCAAGUGACCUGCCUUGGGCUGCAUUCGGUCCAGUGGUUGUGGCCACCCUCAUCCUGCAUGUGCCUGGACAGAUGUGGUUUCUGAAUCUCGCUCCCUUUCCACACCAGGCGCCUCGUUUCCAGGCAAGUUUCCCUCUGGGUGGCGUGGUCCUCACUCUUGGCUGCACGUCAGAACCACUUGAAAGCUUCUCAAGUUAUGGACACCCGGUUGCACCCCAUCCAGUAGGAUUUGAUGGAUCUGGGGUACAGCAGGGACACUGGACUUUUUAAAGUCUCCUUAGAAAAAAAAAAGAAAAAAAAAAAGUCUCCUUAGGUGGUUCUGAGCUUCCCUGGUAGCUCAGCUGGUAAAAAAUCUGCCUGCAAUGCAGGAGACCUGGGUUCGAUCCCUGGGUUGGGAAGAUCCCCUGGAGAAGGGAACAGUUACCUACUCCAGUAUUCUGUCCUGGAGAAGUCCAUGGACAGAGGAGCCUGGCGGGCUACAGUCCAUGGGGUCGAAAAGAGUCAGACACGACUGAGCGACUUUCACUUUCACUUCUUCAGUGAUUCUGAUGUGCAGCCAAACUCAAGAGCCACGACCCACCUCCAUCCUCCAUGCAGCUGCUGCAGUGACCCUCCCAAAAUACAGCCAGACCUUCCUGAGCUCCCUAACCAAAGACGAAAAUGCAGACACUGGGCUUCCCUGGUGGUCUAAGAAUCGACCUGCCAUGCAGGAGACAUGGGUUUGGUUAUCCAGGAUGAUUCCACACCCUAUGGAGAAACUGAGCCCUGCCACAACUGCUGAGUCUCCGCACCCUGGGGCCCAUGCUCGGCAACAAGAGGAGCCGCCGCUGCGAGAGGCGUGUGCAUCACAAUGAGGAGAAGGCUCCCCGCAGCUGGAGAGAGCCCGCACAGCAACCGCCCCCCCCCAACAAAAUGCAGCUGCCUCCCUCUGUCAUUCAAAGCCCCUGGACCAUACCUCCCCGCUUAUUAGGAGCUGAAAUGUGUCUCCAAAAUGCACGUGUUGAAGCUCGUACCCUUAUUCUUCAUGCCUCAGAAUAUGACUGUAUUUGGAGAUGGGGCCUUUAAAGGGUCAUUAAGAUGUGGCCAUCAGCAUGGGCCCUCAUCCAAUCUGACUGGUGUCCUUAAUAAGAAAAGGACUUUGGGGCACAAACAGUCGCCAGGGAUGAGGGCACCCAGAGGGAAGUCCACGUGAGGACGCAGGGAGACGAUGGCUGGCCAAGGCUUGCUCACAUCUUCAUCUUGAACUUCCAGCCUCCAGACUUGUGGGACAACACACGUCUGUUGUCUAAGCCGCCCCAUCUUUGUUCCAGUAGUCCGGCUGACUGACACAUCACCCUUCCACCAAGGCAAGAGGCAGAGUGAUCAGGACCAAGAACACGGGGGCGGAUUCCCUCUGCCUUUUAUUAUCGGAGGCUCUGCCAAGUUCCUUAACGUCUCUGUGCCUCUGUUUCCCUGCCUGUUCAAUGGUGAAUACCAGCUGGAGCUACCACAUGGGAUUAUCGGGGAGGAUUCCAUGAGUCCGUGAACUGUGCUUCGAACCGUGUGGCUCAGAGUAGCCUCCCUGCUAACUUUUUUUCCCCCUUCGCAUCCCAGCCUCUGCUUCCCUCUUCCUCACCUGCCUCCUGGCCCCACCACACCACGCUUACCCUUGUUUUCUCUCAGCUCCUUCUCUGCGUUCCCUCACUCCUAUCCACCCAUGUUUUUGCCCAGUGAAGCCCAACUUGAAUUCCUCCUCCUCUGAAAAAUAUUCCUAGAUCCCUCUAAGCAAAACCACAGCCUCCUCCAUCAUACUGCAAUAAAAGUGUGUUUGUCUGUCCAGCACCUUAAUCUGCCUUGUGUACCCAAAGGGUUUACUUACGGUGGCUAGGAAGGACCCCUAAAGGCUUACCAGGUGGCUCAGCAGUAAAGAAUCCACCUGGCAAUGCAGGAGAGGCAGGAGACGUGGGUUCGACCCCAGGGUCAGGAAGAUGCCUGGAGGAGGAAAUUGCAACCUACUCCAGUAUUCUUGCCUGGAAAAUCCCAGGGACAGGGGAGCCUGGCUGGCUGUCAUCCAUGGGGUCACAAAAGGGUAAAACUCGACUUAACAACUAAACAACGACAACACCAAGGACCCCUAAAAUACUGCAUGAUGGUGCACAUUGCAAGCAGGAACUCAGAAAGAAAGAAAAACAAGGAUGGUGACAUUAAAGGGUCCAGGAAUGAGCUAACAAGGGCAGACCGUGGGGCGCUUGACGCUGUGCCAGGAAUUCCAGCUUUAGUUAUAAAGUCAUGACUGAUAUGCCUUUGAUUAAAAAAAAAUGUAAAGUUCUUCUUGAUGCAAAAUAAAGAGAUGACUUAUCCCUGAGAGUAAUUUGAUGUUCACUGCUUCUCAACAGUCAUGAAACUGCCUAGCAGCCCACGGAGCUGGAUUCUCCUUCUUGGGAGAAAAUUAAGCUUAUCUGGACACCACGGUGGGACUUCUAAGAUUCUGGAUUGUGACUGAGUGCAGCUGAGUCGAAGGCCGGGGAGGAUACCCAAGACUGGCUGGAGAGGGGUGCCUGAUUGCAUCUAGACAUAUCCCAGGGGGCUUUGGUGCCAGUGGAAUUUUCCCCAACUCUCACUACAGGCCUCCGUGCCCACCUGGCAUCUCUAGACCCCCCCAUAAGAUUCCAAUCUUAGGGAUUUGCAACUCUGAGGUCUCAGGCGUGGAUGACAGGUGCAUGGUGCCCUCGACGAGAUGACUGCACUUCGACAAAGAUCAGAGUGUGGAUGAGAUGGAUCAGCUACUAGUGGACCAAGGCUCCCGCAGGACGAAUACCUGUCUUACUUCCUUCAUCACUGAAUCCCAGCAUCAAGCACAGUUACGGUCAUAGCAUGAAUGCAUAAAUGUAGUCAAAGCUAUGGUUUUUCCAGUAGUCAUGUACGGAAAUGUGAGAGUUGGACCAUAAAGAAGGCUGAUCACCAAAGAAUUGAUGCUGGAGAAGACUCUUGAGAGUCCCUUGAACUGCAAGGAGAUCCAACCAGUCCAUCCUAAAGGAAAUCAGUCCUGAAUGUUCAUUGGAAGGACUGACGCUGAAGUUCCAAUACUUUGGCUACCUGAUUCAAGAGCUGACUCAUUGGAAAAGACCUUCAUGCUAGGAAAGAUUGAAGGCAAAAGGAGAAGGGGACGACAGAGGAUGAGAUGGUUGGAUAGCAUCACUCACUCAAUGGACAUGAAUUUGAGCAAACCCUGAGAGAUAGUGAAAGACAGGGAAGCCUGGUGUACUGUAGUCCAUGGGUCACAAAUUGUUGAACGUGACUUAGUGACUGAACGCAUACACAUAAGAGGACAGGUUAGACAGGAGGGGGUUCAGACAUCAGCUGCAGGGCGAGCAAAAAAGGCCUUGACCACAGAGUCUUCUUUUUGACCCAUCCAUUGUGGGCUUCAUCUGCCUUUCCUACAUGACAGGCUGCCUCACACAUACCACUGUGCCCUGGAGGUGGAGGACAUUAGAUUAGAUUCAUUUUCCCAGGAGGAUCCAGGGUAGCCUUGAGGAGAGUAAGCUCACACCUGGCAGGAGAUACCCAGGCCACAGAGUUUCCACUUCCUAUACUCAGGCCAACCCUGGAGAAGCCGUCUGUGGGAACCAGGUUAACAUGGAUCCCCCUGACCCUGGGGCCAUUUAUUUAUUUUUUUAAUUAAUUUUUUUUUAAGUGGGGAGGGUGGGCUUCCCUAGUAGCUCAGACGGUAAAGAAUCCACCUGCAAUGUGGGAGACCUGGGUUCGAGCCCUGGAGAAGGGAAGAGCUACCCAUUCCAGCAUUCUUGCCUGGAGAAUUCUGUGGACAGAGGAGCCUGGCAGGCUAUAGUCCGUGGGGUCACAAAUAGCAUUUUAUUUAUUAUUAUUAUUUUUUUUUUUUUAAAGUUUUUUGGCUUUGUCGUGUGGCAUGUGGGAUCUCAGUCCCCUGACCAGGCAUCAAACCCACACACCCUGCAUUGGAACCACAAAGUCUUAACCACUGGACCACCAGGGAAAUUCCCUGGGGCCAUUUAGCCAGAGGAUUUGGGCUGAAGGUCUUCAGAUAUAUCGAUAGAUCCUUUCCCUUAAAGAUGAAAAACCAGGGCCCGAGCUUCCAUAUUGUUCUUUUCUCGAUCCCUCUGGACCGCUUUAAUCCACUUCCCACUUCAUCUACUUCCUACCCUCCCCUCGCCCCCUGCUUAUCUUCUGCAGCAUCUCUGCAUCUACCUGGCACUCCGGCCCCAUGUCCCAGCAUAAUGGCCCCCUCCUCCCCGGCUAUAUAGAAACCUGGCACGGUUAUGGUCAGGUCCUCGUAGAACCUUCCUCUAACAGGAUAGAGAGCAUCUACUUUUCUGAGUUCCUGCAGCCUCCACCAUCGGGACAGCCUACAGACCAUUCUUUAUUGCUUGCUAUUUUAUAUUUAAUUUUCACAUCAAGUUUCCCCCAGAACUGUGAGUUUCCUUGAGGACAAGGACAUUGCCUUGCUUAUUUCUGUGUCUCUUGGACUUCAAGGGGAAUUUAAUGCAUAUUUAUUGACCGUCUCAUAGUAUAUUUUGGCCUGCUCAUAACAGGAAUGAGCCCUGUUUGUUUGUUUUGCUCUGUGGCCAGCUUGCUGUGGGGCCUGGUUUGGUUUUAAAAAUUCUGGUCCCUGUUGGAAAAGGAAGUAGAAUAAUUGGGGUUCUGGAGAGAGCAACUCUCGCUUUUUACCCUUCUGUGUCUUUUGAACUGUUUACAAUAAGCAUAUGUUCAUGCAUUACUUUGGUAAUAAAGCAAUUUAUUUAGA